GAAUGGCUGCAAUCCGCCAGUAUUUUUGGCUGUGGCUCGGGCUUUGUAUAAUCAUUCUCAAUGUUGUUGUCGCCCUCAUAUUCUACCUGAUCUGCAGGAGAUUAGGUUGCUAUCAAGGUAAAAUGAAGAUUAAAAAAUUCUUCAGUGUAAGGUCCCGGACAAACAUGUCACAGCUGAACACUUGCCCAGGCCACGCGCAGAGUAAUGCCUAUCAGCUCGAUAACACAGAUCAUGAAGACAAUACAGUCAACAAGUCACUCAGCAUGGACAAUAUAUCACAUAGCUAUGAGAUUCCACCUGAGUUUGAGAACAUUUCAAAUAGUGGAUACAUUGAUGUUCAUCCAGAAGACAAUGAUAGUUAUGAUGAUGUAAUUGCACCAGGAUGGGUUGAUGAAGACUAUGAUGAUAUAGCAUAAAACAUAGAACAUCAGGCCCUAUGGGCCACCAUGUCCUCGCUGACCACAAUGCCAUUGUAAACUUAUCCAUCUGCCUGCACAUGGUCUGUGUCACACUAUUAUCUACCUGUUCAUGUAUCUGCGUAAAUGUCACUUAAACAUUGCUCCUACCUGCUCAUAUCUGCUUCUACCACCUGUCCUGGCAGCACAUUCCAGGAACCUAUCACUUCCUGGGUGAAGAAACUUGCUUUGCACAUUUGCUUUAAACUUUCCCUUUCUCACCUUAAACCCAUCUCCUCUAAUAUUUGACAUUUCCACCCAGGAAAAAGACACUGACAAUCCAUCCUGUCCAUCCCUGUACUUCUAUCAGAUCAACCUCCAUAAACCUCUAGCAAAAACAGUCCAAGUGUUGUCUAACCUCUCCUUAUAGCUAAUCGGCUCCAAUCCAGGCAACAUCCUGGUAAACCUCCUUUGCACUCUCUCCAAAUCAUCCACACCCUUCCAAAGUGUUGUGACCAGAACUACACACAGUACCCCAAAUGUGGCCUAACUAAAGUCUUGUACAGCUGAAACAUGACUUGCCAACUUUUGUACUCAAUAAUGAAUGCAAGCACAUACAUCUUCUUUACCACCUUAUCCACUUGCGUUGCCACUUCCAGGGAGCUAGCAACUUGCAUCCCAAGAUCCCUCCAUUUAUCAUUGUUCUUAAGCAGCCUGCCAUUUACCAUAUAUUUUCCUCUUGUAUUUGACCUCCCAAAAACAUCACCUCACACUUCUCUGGAUUAAACACCAUCUGCGAUUUUUGAGAAGAUUUUAGCUCAAAUUGUAAGCUUGCUCACUGAGCUGGAAGGUUUGUUUUCACAUGUUUCAUGUAACAUGAUCAGCCCACAAAUCUACCAACACACUGAAACAGUUACUGAUGAACCUAAAGUGCCCUAUACCAACAACUAGCAAAACUAAUGUCAUUUACAAAAUACCCCACAAGGACAGCAACAAACACUACAUCAGACAGUCAGACAGAAAACUGGGCACCAGGAUAACGAACACCAACUAGCCACAUGACCGGUAAUAUACCACUAGUUUCCUUACACACAGACAAAGAAGGACACCACUUCGACUGGGACAACACAUCCAUCCUGGGACAGGCUGAACAGAGACACACACGGGAAUUUCUACAGGCCUGGCAUUCAAACCAGAACUCCAUCAAUAAACACAUCAAUUUGAACUCUAUUUACCAACCUUUGAGAAAAAGAACCGGAAAUGAUAUCACCCACCUUAACAGACCAAGAUACAUAAACAGAAAGUAGGACAGAACACCAGCACUUCACCUGAGGCUCAUUGAUGAUGUUACCUCACAUGGUGAUGAAACGUCUGAGACCAAACCUACCAGCUCAGCGAACAAACUUACAAUCUUAAACUCCAUUCCUCUGCGUAACUUUCCAACUGAUCUAUAUCCUGCUGUGUCCCAUGACAACUGUCCUCACUAUCCAGAUCUGCACCAAUUUUCAUGUUGUCUACAACUUACUAAUCAGAACACCUGCAUUUUCAUUCAGAUUAUUUAAAUAUAUUAUAAACAACCGAGAUGCCAGCACUGAUCCUUGCAGAAUACCUCCAGACCUCCAGUCAGAAAAACAUCCCUCCAUCGUUACCUUCUGUGGCCAAGCUGAUUUUGCAUCCAAUUUACCAACUCACCAUGGAUCCCAUGUGACUUAAACUUCUGGAACAGUCUACCAUGAGGAACCUUGUCAAAUAGAGUCCACGUUGACAAUAUCUACUGCCCUACCUCAUCAAACAUCUUUGUCACCUCCACAAAAUUCUCAAUCAAAUUUGUGAGACAAGAUCUCCCCUGCACAAGCCAUGCUAACUAUCCCUAAUAGGUCCAUUCUUAUGAGUAAAUCCUGUCCCUAAGAAUCUUUUCCAAUAAUUUCCCUACCACUGAUGCAAGGCUCACCAACCUAUAAUAUCCUGUUGCCCUUCUUAAACAAAUGAGCAGCAUUGGCAAUUCUUCAGUUCUGUGGGAUGUUGCCUGUGGCUAAAGAGGCUACAACGAUAUCUGGCAAGGCCCCAUUAAUUUCCUCCCUUGCCUUCCUCAGCGUCCUGGGAUAGGUCCCAUCAGGCCCUGGGAUCUUAUCAAGACAACCGAACCUACUCCUUCUUAAUAUCAACAUAUCCUCCCUAAUCUUACCAUCCUUCUCGUUGGUGAAUACCGAUGCAAAGUACUUCCUCUGGCUUCAUGGAUAAAUUAUCUGCUUUAUCCAUGAGUGGACCUACAUUUUGCCUAGCUCCCCUUUUGCUCCUAAUAUAAAAUAUCUUGGGAUUAUCCUACUUGCGUGGCCCCUUUUAGCUCUCCUAACUUGUGUUUAAGUUCUUUACUGUUCCCUCUAUAUUUAUCAAGGGGUUGAUCAAGGGGCUGAUUUCAAUUUCAGAAACCUUCCAUAUGAUUCUCUUUUUGACUAAACUUCCAAUACCUUUUGUCAUCCAGGGUUCCCAAAUUUUGCUAUCAUUUUCUUUCCUCCUCACAGGAACAUGCUGGUCCUGAACUCUGACCAACCGGCCUCUAAAAGACUUAACUAUAUCAGAUUCGGUUUAUUUUCAAACAAAUACCCACAAUCUACUUUCUCCAGUUCUUGCCCUAAAUUGUUGUAAUUAGCCUUCCCCCAGUUUUGCACUUCCACCCAAGGACCAGUCUUACCUUAUCCAUAACUGUCUUACAACUCAUGGAAUUACGAUCACUUUUCCCAAAAUGCUCCCCUGCUAAAACCUGGCUCAUUCUCCAAUUCAAGGCCCCUUUCCCUAGUUGGACUAUCUACAUAUUGUUUCAAGGUUCCCUCCUGGAUGCAGCUAACAAAUUCUGCUCUCUUUAAGCCCCGGUCACUAAGGGAGUCCCAGUCAAUAUAGCAGGUCCAGGUUAUUUGGCCCAUUUGUUCUAGCAUUAGGUCUUGGAAGGGGCUGUCUAGAGUCAUAGAGUUAUGGAGAUGAUGGAAACAGAUCCUUCGGUCCAACUCGUCCAUGCCAACCAGAUAUCCUAACUUAAUAUAGUCCCAUUUGCCAGCACUCAGCCCAUAUCCCUCUAAACCCUUCCUAUUCACAUACCCAUCCCUUUUAAAUGCUGCAAAUGUACCAGCCUCCUCCACUUCCUCUGGCAGCUCAUUCCAUACAUGCACCACUCUCUACAUGAAAACGUUGCUCCUUAGGUCCCUUUUAAAGCUUUCCCCUCUCACACUAAACCUAUACCCUCUAGUUCUGGACUCAUCCACUUCAGGGAAAAGACCUUGUCCAUGCCCCUCAUGAUUUUGUAAACCUCUAUAAGGUCACUCCUCAGCCUCCGGUGCUCAGGGAAAACAGCCCCAGCCUGUUCAGCCUCUCCCUGUAGCUCAAACUCUCUGAUCCUGGCAACAUCCUUGUAAAUCUUUUCUGAACCCUUUCAAGUUCCACAACAUCCUCCUGAGAGGAGGGAGACCAGAAUUGCACACAAUAUUCCAAAAGUGGCCUAACCAAUGUCCUGUACAGCCACAACAUGACCUCCCAACUCCUGUACUCAAUAUUCUGACCAAUAAAGGAAAGCAUACCAAACCAAAUGCUUUCAUCGCUAUCCCAUCCACCUGUGACUCCACUUUCAAGGAACUAUGAACCUGCGCUCCGAGGUCUCUUUUAAAGCUUUGUUCAGCAACACUCCCCAGGAUCUUACCAAUAAGUAUAUUAGUCUCUCUCCCAUGACCAUUUCAAAUUGUGUACCACAUACAAUAGUGCAGCCAAAGCCUUACCAGAUACUUAAGAAGAUUCAGCAUGACUCUGCUUGAGCUAGAAUCUAUCUGUCCAUCUCUAAAGCUGGGGAUCUUAAAAGCACUUCCAAAGAUUUUUAAAUUCUAAGGCAUGCAUGCUGACAGUUCACUCUUUUAUUGUGAUGGGAUAAGUGAGGUUUCAGCAUUUUCAGUAUCUGUGAUUUUCUCCUCACUGCAGUCAUUGUUUGAACAGCAUAGUAUUUACAUUUAAUGAAAGUUACCGGCAUUAAAAUGUGUUCUACGCAGCAGCAUGGCACUGCUGUUCUAUUAAAGCUUUAAGAUUCAGUCCAUGGACAGGAAUGUGCAGGUUUUGAGGAGUCUGCUUGGUUCUGGGUGUUGGGGACACUCUCAGGAAGAUAGUAUAGCAUGGAUCACUGACCACACUGCAUAAAUACAGCAAGAGUUGCUAGGAGGGACUGAGUAUGUCUGCUGAAGAUAUGAAUUGGUGUCAGACUGACUGGAACCUGUUGGAUUAUAACUUGGUGUGAGGUGAUGUGAUUUUUUAAAAGUCUGACCAGAGAUCACUUUGCACUGCUGGCAAAGGCAUGAACUGUGACAGAGAUCAAAUAGGUAUACAAUGAAAACCUUCUCUUCAUCAAAGUCCCUCUCAGUUCUACACUUGUCAGUCACCUUCUCUGUUUGAGCAGUGACUUUAACUUACGUGGGUUUGUUGGAAUUUCAAUUCUAAUUCAUGCCAACAACAAUUACCAGGAAAUAUGUCUUGGAAUACUAAUCAGAAUGGAUGGCAUAAGGAUGCCAAGUGGGUGGCUGGGUAAAGCAUGUUACUUUGAUUGAGCUGAAAGUACAGCAGGACAUUGCAGCAUCUGAGGAGGAGGAGGAGGAAUGUAGCUGCAAGUGUAACAAAUCUUUUUUCGAAAGCGAGAGGAUUCUCAGAGAGUAUUACCACAGCUGAUGGAGAGUAAAGGAUUGCUUAAACAAUCAUUGGGACAAUGAUGCCUGACUACACAAAACUUCUCCAAGAGAAAUGGUUGACAAAAUCACCGACUUAAAGCAGCAGCUGAAGCACAUACUUACAAGUUGUUAACCUGUUACCAGGGGCUACAGUUUGUGGGAGUCAACUUCCUGAACAUGAAACAUGGCUGACCAGAAGACUUUGCUACUCUUCCUGCCGACAAGCUGUUUAUCUGAAGGGUUUUACAACCCAUUUGCCCACAUUAUGAAUGGAUUUUCCACGGUAAUCAGACCCUGAAGUUGGACUCGAGCCAAGGAUGUUACAAGAUUUCCUCAAAUCUAGCCUGAGAUUUGACAAACAAUUUGGGCCUUUUAACUGGUCUCAUUACCUUUGCUUUGGCAACUCUGCAGGCCCACUCAAGAAAUAAGGAGAUGAGACCGUGGCAGUGACCGUGCACCAAGAUUGGGCUGUUGGACACGUGGAGACUUCCUGCACUAACUGAGCUCAGCCUACCUUGGAAAUAUGCAAAGUGCCAAUAUGAUGGAACAAUGCUUCUCUUCCCAGUCAGUCUCACCCACUGUACACCUGAUAUUUAUGACAUUCCAGCUGAGGCAUUUGUGCGCAACAUCUGGGGAAUGAAUUGAACCACGUGUGAGCAGCUUCCAGGAGUUACAUAACAGCUGCAUCAAGGACAUUCGCUCUAUCACAAGGUCAAUUCCUGGGAACAUUUGAGUAACGAAGAUCAAGAUUCAAUUCCUAAACACCUACAAACAUGAGGAAGGUUAGGCCUGUCUCCUUUGGAGUCUUGAAGAGUUAGAGGUGACUUAAUUGAAACUUAUAAAAUCCCGCAGGGACUUGACUGGGUGGAUGUUGAAAAGAUGUUACCUGUUCUGGCUGAAUCUACAAAUAGUAUCACAGUUUAAAAAUAAAGGGUCACUCAUUUAAACCAGAGACGAGGAUGAUUUUUUUCCUCUGUGUGUUGAGAGUUUCCUGGAUUCAGAAUCAUUAAUCAUUAUUGUUAAGGCAGAGGUAGAUCAGUUCUUGAUUGCCAAAGGGUUGAAAGCUUAUUGGAAAUACACAGGGAUGUAGAAGGGAGGUUAAAAUCAGAUCAGCCAAGAUCUCACUGAAUCACAGAGUAAACUUAAAGGGCUGAGUGGCCUGCUCCUUUUCCUCAUUCAUAUGAAUGGGGUUUCAGAUGAGCUUGGAGCAAGUAUAGGCCAUUUAAUAUGAUCACAGCUGACUUUUACCUUGAAUUCAUCAAUCCAGUAUCUACGAAAAAUCUGUCAGUUUAUCUUAGUUUCUGCUGACCCCCAGUAUCCACAGCCUUUUGGGGAGUGAGUUUAAGAUUUCCUUUUGUCAACUUUUGUUUGUGUCUAUCCCUGUUAGAGGACGUUGUUUGCCUGAAUCUAUCUUUAAUCAUAUUAAAUACUGCCAUCUUUACAGAUGUAGGGAAAUAUAAGCCAAGUUUUGAAAUCUGACCUCAGAAUUUAAUCCUUUAAACCUUGGUACCUUUUGUAGAGUCAUACAGUAUGGAAAAAGACCCUUCGGUCCAACACUUCCAUGUUGACCAGGUAUCCUAAACUGAAGUAUCCCAUUUGCCUGUUGUUGGCCUGUAUCCCUCUAAACCUUUCCUCUUCAUGUACCUGACCAAAUGUCUUCUAAAUGUUGCAAUUGUACAUGCCUCUCCCAUUUCCUCUGGGCUGCCUCUCGCUCCUGAGGUAUUGACAACUAAAUGCAGUUCCUCCAGCUGGGGUCUGUAUAAUUAAUGCACUCUUUCACUUUACGAUUCCAGCACCUCCCUGCCCUGAGGUGACAGUGUCUCAAUAACUGCACAUGUGCCUUAAUAUAACAAACCAAGGUUAAAAUUCUCAAUGACAAAAAAUCACUUUAGAAGCAUCAAUAGAAAUGUAAAAUGUUUAUCCAUGUAUCAGUGAGAGAUACUUGUUGGAAUUCUGUAAAUAGGCCUCUCCUCAGUGUGUACCAAUUAAAGACCACAAUUGCCCAAAGCUGUCUCCAUUUAUUUUUGUUGGACAUUUUCUCUGAUUUUAUGUAAAUAUAAUUAUGUAAUAUCACAAUACAUUUUAAUAUUAAAGUUUGAAUGUGUUAAAUUUAACAGUUUCGGCUAUU